rnacentral:misc_RNA from 1 species
CACAUAACCAUGGGGAAGGUAAGUGUAACCUUGUGCAUGGCUUUCCUAGUCUUUCUCAUCGCUAAAGCCAAUUCCCAGAGUGCUUCCAAUGUAAGAGCAACCUAUCAUGUAUACAAUCCUGAACAAAAUGGAUGGGACUUGAAUGCUGUGAGUGCUUACUGCGCAACAUGGGAUGCAAGCAAGCCUCUUGAAUGGCGCAAGAAGUAUGGAUGGACGGCCUUCUGUGGACCAGCCGGACCUCAAGGACAAGCUGCUUGCGGCAAAUGUUUAAGUGUGACCAAUACUGGAACAGGAACUAAAGUAACGGUGAGAAUUAUUGAUCAGUGCAGCAAUGGAGGGUUAGACUUAGAAGAAGGUGUUUUCCGGCAGUUAGACACCGAUGGAAAAGGCAUUGCUCAAGGCC